GCUUCUCACCAGCUUGUCAGUUGCUCAGCAAACGUAUAUUGAGCACCUCCUGAAAGCCAAGUCCUGUUCUUACUUAGUAUGCAAAUAUUGUCACAAGUGAGACAGACAUGGUUCCUUCUUUCCUGCAGCUGACAUUGUAGCCAAGGAGGUAGGCAUAAGUCAAAGAAUGAAACAAAUGAAUGUUAAAUUACAGUGGUAGUAAGGAUUACAAAAGAGAGGAAUCUGUUGCCACAGCCACAUAAAUGGGUAAGUCUGGCUUCAUCUGGGGGUCCAGGGGAAGCUUCCCUGAGGUGAUCUUUGACUUGAGAGCUAUAGGAAUUGGAGGAGUGAACUAUGCAGUGGGUAGAGAGUGGCAGGUGGAGUGUACCUGCCAGUGGAAAUUGCUAAUGCUAAGUCCUGUGGCUGGUGGACAGUACAGAUGGGGCUAGGUCAUCGCAUGGAUAGCCAUGCAUGGGCUGGUUAUCCAUGGUGAGGAAUUUUGUCUUUAUCCAAGAGCAGUGGGGCCAUGGUAGGGUGAAAAAGUGAGGAGAUUGCUCUGCACCAUGGUGAGACUGGUGGGGCCAUGGUCACCAUCGUCCAGGCAAGAGCUGAUGGGGCUUGACACAGGGAGAACAGGGUAGAAAGUGGAUUCCCAAGAAUCAUAGGGAUGAAACCAGGGCCUGUGGAUGGGUGGGAGAGGAAGUAUCUUAUUGACUCCACAUCUAACUUGUGUACCCAUGCAUAGAGCUUGAAGGGAACUCAGUUUGGAGGGGAAAGAUUUCAAUGACAUGUUGAGUGUGAGAUGCCUUUUAAACAUGUAAAAUUUAUGUACUCUUCAAGGAAGGGGGAAUCAUCCAAGGAUAUAUCAACAGAGGAAUGGUUGGAAAAUGGAGAGAGUAAUUGUGUUCUCUUCAUGCACUGGCCUGACCACAGCUGACUAAGGGAGUGAAGGACAUGCAGACAUAUCCCAUGAGGAAUGGUAGAGAGUACUGAAUUGCCUUGGAUGGAAAGGAGGCAGGAGAGGGGUGUGAGGGACCACUGCACAUCUUUGAGGACCAAGAAUAGUGCGUUCUCUGAGGCCCCGGAGACAGAAGUGGGCCCCAAAUGUACCUGCUUCAGGAAGACAGGUUUCAGCUUCUGAAUAUAAUGACAUCAGAGCUAUCUAAAAAUGAGGUGGGCUAGGUGGAAGUGGUGGGCUCCCUGUCAUUAGAGGUGUGUAAACAAAGGCAAAAAUGGUGUGGAAGGGAUUACAGCCUCUGGUGGAGAGCUAAGGUCUUUGAAAACCCUGCCAACCCUCAGUCCUCUGCUGCUAAGGAGAGCUUAGAGCACAGGGCACAGCCCACACUUCCUCACCCUGACUUGCCCAGGUGAGUGGGUGUUAUUCGUAGUACUUCCUUCCCCCAAAAAACUGCUUCAGUGAGCUACUCUGCACACUCUUCCCUGCCACUGGCCCCUUCUAUGGGUGAGGGGGACAAGGACCUCAAACCCACGAAAGGCAGCCUAGCCUAGCAAUUCCCUGCAGAGUUCAAACCCAGCAACUAGCUGUAUGUAUGACCUUGAGUGGAUUUCUUGGCCUCCCUGAGUCUGUCUUCACCUAUAAAAUGAAAAUAAUGAUGGCAAUUAUCUCAUUGCAUUGUGAGGGUUAGACACAGUGCUCCAUAUAAAGUGCUAAAACUACCGGUUGGAGGCUCCCCGACUUCCUGCACCCGCCUCAGUAUUUAUUAAGCAUCUACUACAACCCAGCAAUAUUCUUGAUAUAGCUGGGAACAAACCAGAGAAAAAUCCCUGCUCAACAUUUUUGUUGGGGGAAAAGAGGCAGAAUAAAUUGAUACAUGUAAAAAUGAAACCUGUUUUUAACAGGAGAAUCCUGACAAGUGGCUUUCCUGGGAACAAGGGACCCUACUAUCACAUCCCAAACCAUGACAGAGCAGAGUCCAUCGCAGCUGGGAAACCUGGGGCCUAGACAGUGACUCCCUGGGAUGGGGGUCAAUGGGCGUGAGACUUCAAAGUCCAGGGCCUCAGCCAUCUGGGUGCUUAUCCUACCCAUGCCCUAGACUCACUUUGCCAUGAGCAAGUCACUUAGUUGUUCAGUUUUUGAGACAUGUGUGAGGCACUGAGGAUACUGUAGUGAGCUGCCAGCUGCCUUCCUCCCUGGGCCUUUCUGUGUAGGGGAGGAGUCUAGGAAGUAAGUAAAAUAACAGGAGAUAGAGAAAAGCUAUGAAGAAAAUGAAACAGGAUCACAGGGCAGAGCAUGCCUUGGAAGAGGGGCAAUCUUCGAGGGCCUCUCUUGGGGGGCUACAUUAAAGUUGAGACGGGAAGGACGAGGACCUGGGCAGAGUCUUCCAAGAAGGCACAGUACACACAGCAUGUUCUGCAGGGGGAAGAGCCUGGGCGG
rnacentral:lncRNA from 1 species